GACGAACGCUGGCGGCGUGCUUAACACAUGCAAGUCGAACGGAAAGGCCCUGCUUUUGUGGGGUGCUCGAGUGGCGAACGGGUGAGUAACGCGUGAGUAACCUGCCCUUGACUUUGGGAUAACUUCAGGAAACUGGGGCUAAUACCGGAUAGGAGCUCCUGCUGCAUGGUGGGGGUUGGAAAGUUUCGGCGGUUGGGGAUAGACUCGCGGCUUAUCAGCUUGUUGGUGGGGUAGUGGCUUACCAAGGCUUUGACGGGUAGCCGGCCUGAGAGGGUGACCGGCCACAUUGGGACUGAGAUACGGCCCAGACUCCUACGGGAGGCAGCAGUGGGGAAUAUUGCACAAUGGGCGGAAGCCUGAUGCAGCAACGCCGCGUGCGGGAUGACGGCCUUCGGGUUGUAAACCGCUUUCGCCUGUGACGAAGCGUGAGUGACGGUAAUGGGUAAAGAAGCACCGGCUAACUACGUG
rnacentral:rRNA from 1 species